GUUCCCGGUCGGGGACGAGGGUGACGAGGUGGUGCAUGGCUGUCGUCAGCUCGUGUCGUGAGAUGUUGGGUUAAGUCCCGCAACGAGCGCAACCCUUGUCUUUAGUUGCCAUCAUUCAGUUGGGCACUCUAAAGAGACUGCCGGUGUCAAACCGGAGGAAGGUGGGGAUGACGUCAAGUCCUCAUGGCCUUUAUGACCAGGGCUACACACGUACUACAAUGGCCGGUACAAAGGGCAGCCACUUAGCGAUAAGGAGCCAAUCCCGUAAAGCCGGUCUCAGUCCGGAUUGGAGUCUGCAACUCGACUCCAUGAAGUUGGAAUCGCUAGUAAUCGCAGAUCAGCACGCUGCGGUGAAUACGUUCCCGGGCCUU
rnacentral:rRNA from 1 species